GGGGGCUAGCGUUGUUCGGAAUUACUGGGCGUAAAGCGCACGUAGGCGGCUUUGUAAGUUAGAGGUGAAAGCCCGGAGCUCAACUCCGGAAUUGCCUUUAAGACUGCAUCGCUUGAAUCAUGGAGAGGUGAGUGGAAUUCCGAGUGUAGAGGUGAAAUUCGUAGAUAUUCGGAAGAACACCAGUGGCGAAGGCGACUCACUGGACAUGUAUUGACGCUGAGGUGCGAAAGCGUGGGGAGCAA
rnacentral:rRNA from 1 species